GGUGGAUGCCUUGGCAGUCAGAGGCGAUGAAAGACGUAGUAACUUGCGAUAAGCCCAGAUUAGGUAGUAACAACCAUUUGAGUCUGGGAUUUCUGAAUGGGGAAACCCACUUACAUAAGUAAGUAUCAUUAACUGAAUACAUAGGUUAAUGAGGCGAACCGGGGGAACUGAAACAUCUAAGUACCCCGAGGAAAAGAAAUCAACCGAGAUUCCGAAAGUAGCGGCGAGCGAAAUUGGACUAGCCCUUAAGCUUUACACG
rnacentral:rRNA from 1 species